GACGAACUUUGGCGGCGUGCUUAACACAUGCAAGUCGAACGGAAAGGCCCUGCUUUUGUGGGGUGCUCGAGUGGCGAACGGGUGAGUAACACGUGAGUAACCUGCCCUUGACUUUGGGAUAACUUCAGGAAACUGGGGCUAAUACCGGAUAGGAGCUCCUGCUGCAUGGUGGGGGUUGGAAAGUUUCGGCGGUUGGGGAUGGACUCGCGGCUUAUCAGCUUGUUGGUGGGGUAGUGGCUUACCAAGGCUUUGACGGGUAGCCGGCCUGAGAGGGUGACCGGCCACAUUGGGACUGAGAUACGGCCCAGACUCCUACGGGAGGCAGCAGUGGGGAAUAUUGCACAAUGGGCGGAAGCCUGAUGCAGCAACGCCGCGUGCGGGAUGACGGCCUUCGGGUUGUAAACCGCUUUCGCCUGUGACGAAGCGUGAGUGACGGUAAUGGGUAAAGAAGCACCGGCUAACUACGUGCCAGCAGCCGCGGUGAUACGUAGGGUGCGAGCGUUGUCCGGAUUUAUUGGGCGUAAAGGGCUCGUAGGUGGUUGAUCGCGUCGGAAGUGUAAUCUUGGGGCUUAACCCUGAGCGUGCUUUCGAUACGGGUUGACUUGAGGAAGGUAGGGGAGAAUGGAAUUCCUGGUGGAGCGGUGGAAUGCGCAGAUAUCAGGAGGUACACCAGUGGCGAAGGCGGUUCUCUGGGCCUUUCCUGACGCUGAGGAGCGAAAGCGUGGGGAGCGAACAGGCUUAGAUACCCUGGUAGUCCACGCUGUAAACGGUGGGUACUAGGUGUGGGGUCCAUUCCACGGGUUCCGUGCCGUAGCUAACGCUUUAAGUACCCCGCCUGGGGAGUUCGGCCGCAAGGCUAAAACUCAAAGGAGUUGACGGGGCCCCGCACAAGCGGCGGAGCAUGCGGAUUAAUUCGAUGCAACGCGUAGAACCUUACCUGGGUUUGACAUGGAUCGGGAGUGCUCAGAGAUGGGUGUGCCUCUUUUGGGGUCGGUUCACAGGUGGUGCAUGCCUGUCGUCAGCUCGUGUCGUGAGAUGUUGGGUUAAGUCCCGCAACGAGCGCAACCCUUGUUCACUGUUGCCAGCACGUUAUGGUGGGGACUCAGUGGAGACCGCCGGGGUCAACUCGGAGGAAGGUGGGGAUGACGUCAAGUCAUCAUGCCCCUUAUGUCCAGGGCUUCACGCAUGCUACAAUGGCUGGUACAGAGAGUGGCGAGCCUGUGAGGGUGAGCGAAUCUCGGAAAGCCGGUCUCAGUUCGGAUUGGGGUCUGCAACUCGACCUCAUGAAGUCGGAGUCGCUAGUAAUCGCAAAUCAGCAACGCUGCGGUGAAUNCGUUCCCGGGGCC
rnacentral:rRNA from 1 species